AACGCGAAGAACCUUACCUGGGUUUGACAUGCACAGGACGCUGGUAGAGAUAUCAGUUCCCUUGUGGUCUGUGUGCAGGUGGUGCAUGGCUGUCGUCAGCUCGUGUCGUGAGAUGUUGGGUUAAGUCCCGCAACGAGCGCAACCCUUGUCUCAUGUUGCCAGCGGGUAAUGCCGGGGACUCGUGAGAGACUGCCGGGGUCAACUCGGAGGAAGGUGGGGAUGACGUCAAGUCAUCAUGCCCCUUAUGUCUUGGGCUGCAAACAUGCUACAAUGGCCGGUACAAAGGGCUGCGAACUCGCGAGGGUAAGCGAAUCCCAUAAAGCCGGUCUCAGUUCGGAUCGGGGUCUGCAACUCGGCCCCGUGAAGCUGGAGUCGCUAGUAAUCGCGGAUCAGCAACGCCGCGGUGAAUACGUUCCCGGGCCUUGUACACACCGACUGUAC
rnacentral:rRNA from 1 species